CGCGCGCUCUCUCGCACGAUCUGCUCCCGGACUCCUUCAGCGCGCUGCCUGCCUGCCCAGGGCCUUCCCGGAGAGCAGGUGACGGCGGCCUCCGGGCAUGGAGCUCGCGCUGACGAAAGGUUCUGGAAGCCGCCGUAAAAAGAACAAGGUCUCACCAUGCUGCCCAAGCUGGUCUGAAAACUCUUGUCCUCAGGCAGUCCUCCCACCUCGGCCUCCCAAAGAUCUGAGAUUACAGGCAUGAGCCACCACACCUGGCCUUGGUUUUAAUUCCUGUCACAGUAUAUUAGUUUUCGCUGUUGUGUAUUGAUUGAUUGAGACAGGGUCUCGCUCUGUUGCCCAGGCUGGAGUGCAGGGGCAUGAUCCCAGCUCACUGCAACCUCCACCUCUUGGAUUCAAGUGAUUCUCCCGUCUCAGCCUCCCGAGUAACAGGAACCACAGGUGUGUGCCAGCACGCCUGGCUAAUUUUUUUUUUUUUUUUCUUGAGGUGGAGUUUCACUGUUGUUGCCCAGGUUGGAGUGCAGUGGCACAAUCUCAGCUCACUGCAACCUCUGCCUCCUGGGUUCAAGUGAUUCUCCUGCUUCAGCCUCACGAGUUGUUGGGAUUACAGGCGCCCGCCACCACGCCCAGGUAAUUUUUGUUUAGUAGAGACGGGGUUUCACCAUGUUGGCCUGGCUGGUCUCGAACUCCUGACCUCAGGUGAUCCACCCACCUCGGCCUCCCAAAGUUGUGGGAUUGCAGGCGUGAGCCACUGCGCCUGGCCUAAUUUUUCAAUUUUUUGGUGGAGAUAGGGUUUCACCAUGUUGGCCAGGCUGGAGUUUUGCCUGUUCUAGAAGCUUGUAUCAGUCAUACAACACCCCUUUGAGGAACCGUUUGAGGUGUGGCACGAUACAGCAAGUCAGCUGCCAAAGAGGGGCUUAGCCACAGGAAGUGCGUGCCCAGAACGCAUCUCCCGUGUCCCUCACAGCAGUUCUAUGAGGCUGGCUGCCCUGUUUGACAACUGAGGCCCGCAUCUUCCCCGGAAUCACCGACGUGUGGCUCUGAGCCCUGUCCCAGGGAUUUUCUCCAUCAGAGAAGAGGAGCACUUUGAGCUUUGAGAGGAGCAGCCCUCUGCAAGUGAAGUGGAAAAAAAGGAAGCAGGCGAGGAGGCCCAUCCAGACCCUCCCCCAAGACCCUUGCUGAAAUGGCUGGGAUGCGGCGUGCAGAAGCUCUCCUUUCCUUCACAGCCCCUGGCUUUCCAAGAGUCCCUGCCCACCCAGAUGCCCGCUGGCAGAUGCAGCCUCAUCUCAAGGACACUGCUUGCUGGAUAAAUCCCUCACCACCCUAGAGACAGCCCACGGUCCUGAGACAAGGAUGCGGGCCAGGCUUGUUGCACGUAAGCGCCUCCCGCAGAAACCAGUGAGGCCGGAGUUCCAGAGGAAAUGAUGUAGGGACAGAGGCAGAGGGCCUCCAGGAGGCACCAGCCCCAGAGUCUUCCCUAGAAUCAGACUUUAAGCACAAGCAGGGAGGGAAAGCACUUGAGCAGUGCCCGUCCCUGCAUACCUGGCCUCUGCUGGAACCCAUGCAGGGACAGGACACUUCUUUAUCAGCAAUCCUGUUCCUCUCCUGGGCAGCUUCAACCUGAACAUCCUCCUUCACCUUGAGCUAAAAUGGGUUUCUUGUCACCCUUGCCCAUCAAACCUGGCCUUGCCCUCAGGAACCACACAGGACAAGCCUAAUACUUCCUUCUUGUGGCAACACUUUAGCAAUUGAGACCUGGCUGUCAGGUCCUCCAAAUAAACAUUUGUGACUGUGAUGUUGACUUGCCGCUUCUGGGGACCUCUUCUCAUUUGAUCGGAGAAAGUUUUUCAGGGUUAAACCUACUUCUUUCCCCCAAGAAACUCUUCUUGUCAGGCUCACGCCUAUA
rnacentral:lncRNA from 1 species